GGCUCAGGAUGAACGCUAGCUACAGGCUUAACACAUGCAAGUCGAGGGGCAGCAUGGUCUUAGCUUGCUAAGGCCGAUGGCGACCGGCGCACGGGUGAGUAACACGUAUCCAACCUGCCGUCUACUCUUGGACAGCCUUCUGAAAGGAAGAUUAAUACAAGAUGGCAUCAUGAGUCCGCAUGUUCACAUGAUUAAAGGUAUUCCGGUAGACGAUGGGGAUGCGUUCCAUUAGAUAGUAGGCGGGGUAACGGCCCACCUAGUCUUCGAUGGAUAGGGGUUCUGAGAGGAAGGUCCCCCACAUUGGAACUGAGACACGGUCCAAACUCCUACGGGAGGCAGCAGUGAGGAAUAUUGGUCAAUGGGCGAGAGCCUGAACCAGCCAAGUAGCGUGAAGGAUGACUGCCCUAUGGGUUGUAAACUUCUUUUAUAAAGGAAUAAAGUCGGGUAUGGAUACCCGUUUGCAUGUACUUUAUGAAUAAGGAUCGGCUAACUCCGUGCCAGCAGCCGCGGUAAUACGGAGGAUCCGAGCGUUAUCCGGAUUUAUUGGGUUUAAAGGGAGCGUAGAUGGAUGUUUAAGUCAGUUGUGAAAGUUUGCGGCUCAACCGUAAAAUUGCAGUUGAUACUGGAUAUCUUGAGUGCAGUUGAGGCAGGCGGAAUUCGUGGUGUAGCGGUGAAAUGCUUAGAUAUCACGAAGAACUCCGAUUGCGAAGGCAGCCUGCUAAGCUGCAACUGACAUUGAGGCUCGAAAGUGUGGGUAUCAAACAGGAUUAGAUACCCUGGUAGUCCACACGGUAAACGAUGAAUACUCGCUGUUUGCGAUAUACUGCAAGCGGCCAAGCGAAAGCGUUAAGUAUUCCACCUGGGGAGUACGCCGGCAACGGUGAAACUCAAAGGAAUUGACGGGGGCCCGCACAAGCGGAGGAACAUGUGGUUUAAUUCGAUGAUACGCGAGGAACCUUACCCGGGCUUAAAUUGCAGAUGAAUUACGGUGAAAGCCGUAAGCCGCAAGGCAUCUGUGAAGGUGCUGCAUGGUUGUCGUCAGCUCGUGCCGUGAGGUGUCGGCUUAAGUGCCAUAACGAGCGCAACCCUUGUUGUCAGUUACUAACAGGUUCCGCUGAGGACUCUGACAAGACUGCCAUCGUAAGAUGUGAGGAAGGUGGGGAUGACGUCAAAUCAGCACGGCCCUUACGUCCGGGGCUACACACGUGUUACAAUGGGGGGUACAGAGGGCCGCUACCACGCGAGUGGAUGCCAAUCCCCAAAACCUCUCUCAGUUCGGACUGGAGUCUGCAACCCGACUCCACGAAGCUGGAUUCGCUAGUAAUCGCGCAUCAGCCACGGCGCGGUGAAUACGUUCUCGGGCCUUGUACACACCGCCCGUCAAGCCAUGGGAGCCGGGGGUACCUGAAGUGCGUAACCGCGAGGAGCGCCCUAGGGUAAAACUGGUG
rnacentral:rRNA from 1 species